rnacentral:tRNA from 1 species
UGGCUGAGUCGGUUAGAGCGUGGUGCUGAUAACACCAAGGUCGCAGGUUCAAUCCCUGC